rnacentral:rRNA from 1 species
GAUGAACGCUGGCGGCGUGCUUAACACAUGCAAGUCGAACGGAAAGGCUCCUGCUUGCCGGGGUACUCGAGUGGCGAACGGGUGAGUAACACGUGGGUGAUCUGCCCUGCACUUCGGGAUAAGCCUGGGAAACUGGGUCUAAUACCGGAGAGGACGAUGGUUUGGAUGCCAUUGUGGAAAGUUUUUCGGUGUGGGAUGAGCUCGCGGCCUAUCAGCUUGUUGGUGGGGUAAUGGCCUACCAAGGCGUCGACGGGUAGCCGGCCUGAGAGGGUGUACGGCCACAUUGGGACUGAGAUACGGCCCAGACUCCUACGGGAGGCAGCAGUGGGGAAUCUUGCACAAUGGGCGCAAGCCUGAUGCAGCGACGCCGCGUGGGGGAUGACGGCCUUCGGGUUGUAAACUCCUUUCGCUAGGGACGAAGCGCAAGUGACGGUACCUGGAGAAGAAGCACCGGCUAACUACGUG